rnacentral:rRNA from 1 species
CUGGUUGAUCCUGCCAGAGGUUACUGCUAUCGAGGUUCGACUAAGCCAUGCGAGUCGAAUGUAGCAAUACAUGGCGAACUGCUCAGUAACACGUGGACAACCUGCCCUUAGGACGGGGAUAAACCCGGGAAACUGGGCAUAAUACCCGAUAGGUCUCGAUUGCUGGAAUGCAUCGAGAUUUAAAGCUCCGGCGCCUAAGGAUGGGUCUGCGGCCUAUCAGGUAGUAGUGGGUGUAGCGUACCUACUAGCCUACGACGGGUACGGGUUGUGAGAGCAAGAGCCCGGAGAUGGUUUCUGAGACACGAAUCCAGGCCCUACGGGGUGCAGCAGGCGCGAAAACUUUACAAUGCUGGCAACAGCGAUAAGGGAACCUCGAGUGCCAGGUUACAAAUCUGGCUGUCGAGAUGCCUAAAAAGCAUUUCAUAGCAAGGGCCGGGCAAGACCGGUGCCAGCCGCCGCGGUAACACCGGCGGCUCGAGUGGUAACCGUUAUUAUUGGGUCUAAAGGGUCUGUAGCCGGCCGGAUAAGUCUCUUGAGAAAUCUGGCAGCUUAACUGUCAGGCUUUCAGGAGAUACUGUCUGGCUCGAGGCCGGGAGAGGUGAGAGGUACUUCAGGGGUAGGGGUGAAAUCUUGUAAUCCUUGAAGGACCACCAGUGGCGAAGGCGUCUCACCAGAACGGACCUGACGGCAAGGGACGAAAGCUAGGGGCACGAACCGGAUUAGAUACCCGGGUAGUCCUAGCCGUAAACGAUACUCGCUAGGUGUCGGCCACGGUGCGACCGUGAUUGGUGCCGUAGGGAAGCCGUGAAGCGAGCCACCUGGGAAGUAUGGCCGCAAGGCUGAAACUUAAAGGAAUUGGCGGGGGAGCACUACAACGGGUGGAGCCUGCGGUUUAAUUGGAUUCAACGCCGGA